AAUUAUAUUAAAAUGGGAGAACGAGACUUAGAAAAAGGAAAGAAGAUUUUUGUUCAGAAAUGCUCUCAGUGUCACACUAUUGAGAUUUGUGGCAAACACAAAGUUGGUCCAAACCUAUAUGGGCUCUUUGGUCGCAUGACUGGUCGAGUUCACCGGGUUACAGCUACACAGAAAACCACAUGGAGAAGGGUGAGUAUUAUUUAGAAGGAAGAAACACUUUUGGCAGAUUUUUACAGAAUCCUAAAAGGUACAUUCCAGCGACCAUGAUGAUCUUUCCUGCAUCCGUAGGAAGGAGGAAAGGGUAUAUGUGAUAGAAAAUUUGAAAAAAUCCUUCACUUAA